rnacentral:rRNA from 1 species
GUGCCAGCAGCCGCGGUAAUACGGAGGGUGCGAGCGUUAAUCGGAAUUACUGGGCGUAAAGCGCAUGCAGGCGGCUUGUUAAGCCAGAUGUGAAAGCCCGGGGCUCAACCUCGGAAUAGCAUUUGGAACUGGCAGGCUAGAGUCUUGUAGAGGGGGGUAGAAUUUCAGGUGUAGCGGUGAAAUGCGUAGAGAUCUGAAGGAAUACCGGUGGCGAAGGCGGCCCCCUGGACAAAGACUGACGCUCAGAUGCGAAAGCGUGGGGAGCAAACAGGAUUAGAUACCCCCGUAGUCCC